CUUUUUAUUCUUACUUUCUAAAAAUGGGACAAAAAAUAUCGUAAAAGCAGUCAAAAUUUGCUUACGAAUGAUUUUGAAUACAUUAUUUUGCAAAUCUAUCAUCAGUUUAACAGGGUUUUUGGCCAGUUACAUAUUCGUGCUUUGUAACACUCCUCCAAUAGGGGAAUCCUACAUUUAUUUUUUCACCAUAAUCUCUCUCCACAUCUCUGUAACCUAUCAAAGUAUUCAAGUUAUACAAUUUUAGUUAUUCAUUUGCUAUGUUUUACUUAGAUAACCGAAAAGUUGUGCAUUCUUAUUUAUCUCGCCAGUUUUUAUAAAUUAAAAUAUGCCGGUUAUUAUUUAAAUACAUCGGUAAUGCAGUUUAAAAUAACUCGAAGAAAAAAAAAACAAAAUUACAAUGCUUAUAAUAAUAUUAUUUAUUCAUUUUUUCACUUUAAUGAAGUGUGAAUUUGUUAUUGAAACUAUCGAACAGACAUGUGAUUUACAAUUGCUGAAAAAUCUUACAGUUUACAGUAAAGACUGGGAAGUAACCUAUAAACAAGCGAUAAUUAAAUUUAACUUGUGUGGGUAUUUGAACGACAAAGAUCACCAUAAAUACGUGGCUUAUAUAAAGAAAAACAAUAAUUUCAUUCGUUUUGCUAAUUUCUCAGGUUCACUUGAUAAUAAACUAAAUUUUCACCCAGUAGAUAAUACAACUUGUAAGUUAUCGGUAAAUUUCGACUGCCUAAUGUUCUCAAAGGAACCCAAGUUACAAGUGAAUGAUGAAUGCAAUUAUCAAUUAUCAAUUUCGUCUCUAUCAGAAAAUUGCGUUCGUCCAUAUGGGAUGAGAUAUCAGAAUGAUUUAUUGGAUUUUCGUCCGUUACGACGUUUGUAUGAUAUAAAAUUUGAUGGAAAAAAUAAAUUCGAAUCUUGUAUUUCAUUUUGUAAUGAAAUCGAAGACUGUAAAAUAGAUAAUAAUAAUUGUUAUGUCAACGGAACUAAAAGUGAAAAAAUUGUUACAGUAGAAUUCGAUAGAAUAGUAUAUAACAACAAAUUCGAACUGCACGCACAUUAUUUUCAACACAACAAAAAGAAAAAAAUAGAAGUACACAUUACUUGUAAAUGGUUUAAAAACUCAACCGAAUUAAAAGUAUUAUCAGCAGGAAAAAAUACCAGACUCGAACUUGAAUCUUCAUUAGGUUGUAUUAAACAACCCCAAGUAUGUCAAUUUACAGACAAGCAAUUCUUCUAUAAUCUAUCAGAUCUUUAUGAGAAAAAAGGUUAUUGGGAAGUUGAAUUUAAUAUUACAAGAAAAAUAUAUUUAAACAUUUGUGGACCAUUACAUUUCGGACAAGAUCAUUGUUCUAAAUCCCAUUCGCAAAUAUGUGAAAAUGUUAAUGGAACAUAUAUAAGUAAAGGAAGAAUAAGUUCGCCAUUAACACCUGUGGUAUUAGAGGAUACCAUCGUUGAUACCUAUACAACCGGUGAUGAAUGUAACAAAACUCAAAUGUAUACAACAAAACUUAUAUUGAAAUGUUCGUCUGUUGAUGGGAAACCAACAUUUAUUAAAGAAAACGGUUGCGAGAUAAUUAUAGGGUGGAAUACCACUAAAGCUUGUCCGAAAUAUGAUUUGAAGGCUUGUCCGGAUAAACUACCCAGUUCGAACCAGUACGAUUGCGUUUAUAAAGAUAUACAUAAGGAAUUCUACUUGUUUUAUAAUUUGUCGAGAUUGUACAAUCCGAGAGGAUAUCAAAUUCGAGAUCCUGAUGACAAUAAUUAUUUGUAUUGGUUGAAUGUAUGUGGACCUAUUAAUCUUAGCGAAGCGCCCUGUAAAAAAAAUGUUAUGAUCGCUAAGGUGAAUUUGAAAGAGGUGAACGUCAGAAAGAAGGUGAUAUCGUACGGAGAACAAACUAAUAUAUCGACAAGAAACGGCUCUCUAAUAAUAGAUACAGCUGGAGGCGAUUUUUAUAAUCAAAAAGAUUUAUUAACUUACUAUAGAGCAAACAUACAAUUCGAAUGUUCUAGAAACAUAGAGAGCGAGAUUUUUUUACUAUCGAAAAGUGAAAGUUCCUUGGAAUUUUUAUGGAAAACUAAAUACGCUUGUCCUGUGACAGUGGAAACUAUCCGAAGUUGUAUAUUCGAUAUUGAUCCUUAUACUAAGUUGGAUUUUACAAACAUAACCAAAGAUUCUUUAUUGAUACAAAAUGAUGACAGACAGUACUUGUUCGAUUUGUGUGGACGUCGUAGAGAAUCCUGCGAUCCUAGUAAUUGUACGUAUACGAGGGCCUCCAAAAACGUCGUAAAGUAUCAUAAUAAGUAUAAUAUCGAAUUUAUAUUGAACGCGCCUUGUAACAUUCCAAAAAAAUUCAAUAGAACCCUCAUAGAAUUGGUUUGCGAUAAUUUACUUGACAACGAUCAUUAUAACGAUGAAAUGAAAGUUGAAAAUUGUACUUUGAUGUUACAAUUACGUACUAAUAAGAUUUGUACUAACGAGCCUGUAGUUGUACCUCUCCUAAAUUCCGAACCACUUGAAAAUAAAAAUAUUCAGCGCAUCAAUUACGACGUCAUACAGGAACAUUCAACGAAAAAAGUUAAUUGUACAUUGAUAGGUCCACACAAUAAUUAUGUGUUUGAUAUCAACCAACUCACAUUGGACGUAAAUGUAACAAAAUGUCCCGCAAAGUCAUACAAUUUCGAUAACAAAACCAUAACUUUGUUAUAUAACAUACCGAAAAGUUGCCAUCAUUCCAAAGAUAACCUCGAAUUAAUAGUCGAAUUAAAUUGCAACGACACCUUCCAACAAAAUAAGACGAAUCAAUUUCGAUGUUCCAGAAAAAUGACGUUCUUCCUACCGGAAACUUGUAAACUAUUAGAAAUCGUUAAUAACUCGCAAAAUGAACGAGGUACCAUCAGUGGUGGGCUAAUAACAGUGUACACUCUACUUUCUAUAUUCCUCGUAUUACUAUUAAUCGGUAUAUCCUAUAGGAUAUAUAAACGUCAACUGCAGAUUAGACCAUAUCGUAAUUUCUAUUUCUCUAAUUUUGAAUGGUACUGCUGCAUUAAUGAGGCUCAAAUUUUUUGUUUUCAUUCUAAUUUCAAAGAAAAACUUCCCAUUUUAUGGUUUACAAUGGUAUCAAUUGGUUGUAGUACCCAAAAUAUUCAUUUUUAUCAUCAUAUCAGUCAAGGGACUUAUUGAUCGAACUAGUAAUCUACAAAUCGAUCGUUUGACAUUUUUUUUUUAAUUUUUUCCGUUGGUUUUUUUAGUGUACACUCUACUUUCUAUAUUCCUCGUAUUACUAUUAAUCGGUAUAUCCUAUAGGAUAUAUAAACGUCAACUGCAGAUUAGACCAUAUCGAGUCUUAUUCGUACCCUACAAAAAGGAUCUCGACGAUUAGAAAAUGCGUUCGGUAUGAUGGUAAAUUUGGUUACCGAAACGUUUUUUAUGCAGGGAAAUUACGAUGUAUCGGUAUAGUAAAAUAAUCGACACUAUAUGUUGUUGUUUACAUUUACAGGGUGUUCAAAUAAUCUUAAUUUUUUAUUGAUCGUUUUUUUAACAAAUAUUGCGGCAUCCUGUAUAAAUCACAUAAGGCUCUUGUGUUGAAAACUAUUUUUUCACAUUAAAAUUAGAAAUUUGUUUAAAACGUUCAUAAUUUGUAUUUAUUUUAGAAUCUUCUAAUUUAUUUGUUGUUAAGUUUUUUUGUUAAUUAAUUCCAAGAAAAAAGAACACACAAAUUAUAAUUUUCGGUUUUCGAUAAUUUAUUUUACACAAAAUUAAAUGAAUACAAUUAAUCUCACAAGCGAACUAACUAAUAUUCAUUGAAUGAACUAUAUAUUCAAGAGCGAUACAUAUAUUCAUUCCCAAGCUGUUUACAAAUAUUUGUAUUUAUAAUAAAAUAAUUGCUGAUGAAGUGUUUAUGAUAUUUAAUACAAUUGCAUUUUAUAUAAAUGUCCAUGUAACUCCUCCGUCCCUAAGAAUGAAAAAUUACGGAGGUAUUUUUCAUAUUUUGUUGUCUUCUUUCUUCUAAUUCGAUGCUUUCUUUCUUUUCUUCAAAUUUCUGUUUUCUUACAAAUUUACUUUUAUAUUUACGAAUUAACAAUGUUAUUAAAAUUACACAAAUUAUUUUUCGUUUAUAUAACAAAAUUAUUCACAAUAUUUGAUACUAUUACAUUUUAAUAAAAUGACCUACUAGAAUUUUCUCUCUAUAACUUCAGCAAUAAUUUUAUUAUAUAUAUGAAAAAUUGUAAACAACUUUUAAUGUACUAUAGUUAGUUCGCUUAAGAUAUUAAUUGUAAUCAUUCAAUAAUAUAAAAUUAAUUGUAAUUUUGUAUUAAAUAAAUUUUUAAAAACAUAUUUUCGGCUAGCGAAAAUAUAAUUCACGUUGUAUAUUUUUUAGUUACCUUUUUGUAUACAAUAAAUUCCAGCUUAUUGUACAUUUCGAAAAAAAAAAUUACUAAAUGCGACGUUGUCAAGUCAGGUAACAACCAAUCGUGCUGCAUUUUUAAGCGGAAUUUUGUUGUACAUUUUAGCAGUAUUAAUUUUUUUAUAAAAAUCUUGUUUUAUUUGUAAUUUAAAAACAAUUUGAAUAAAGAAAAAAAU